rnacentral:tRNA from 1 species
CAAAUUAUAGCUAAUAUAGAAUUUUAUUUACACUAAAAUAAAAAUUGUUAAAUCAAUUUAGUUUGA